GCUAAGAAUAUUCCGCAAUGGACGAAAGUCUGACGGAGCGACGCCGCGUGGAUGAUGAAGGCCGGAAGGUUGUAAAAUCCUUUUAUGACUGAGGAAUAAGGAAAGUGAGAGAAACGCUUUCUGGUGACUGUAGGUCAUGAAUAAGCAACGGCUAAUUACGUGCCAGCAGCCGCGGUAACACGUAAGUUGCGAGCGUUGUUCGGAAUUAUUGGGCGUAAAGGGCAUGUAGGCGGUUCUGCAAGUCUGGUGUGAAAUACCGGGGCUCAACCCCGGAACUGCGUUGGAAACUGCAGGACUUGAAUCGCUGAGGGGCAGCCAGAAUUCCAGGUGUAGGGGUGAAAUCUGUAGAUAUCUGGAAGAAUACCAAUGGCGAAGGCAGGCUGCCAGCAGAUGAUUGACGCUGAGGUGCGAAGGUGCGGGGAGCAAACAGG
rnacentral:rRNA from 1 species